UACAGAGGGUGCGAGCGUUAAUCGGAAUUACUGGGCGUAAAGCGCACGUAGGUGGCGACGUAAGUCGGGGUGUGAAAUCCCUGGGCUCAACCUGGGAACUGCAUUGGAAACUGGCGAGCUUGAAUGCGGCAGAGGGGGGUGGAAUUCCGCGUGUAGCAGUGAAAUGCGUAGAGAUGCGGAGGAACACCGAUGGCGAAGGCAGCCCCCUGGGCCGACAUUGACGCUCAGGCACGAAAGCGUGGGGAGCAAACAGGAUUAGAA
rnacentral:rRNA from 1 species